GACCCAAUGGCGAAAUGGUAUCACUUCCGCAAAAAUUAUCAGUACGAAUUAUGUGAUUUCUGUGGAAGUCCCCUGGUUCGAAUCCAGGUUGGGUCA